AAUAAAUCUGUCAGAAGAAAGUGUGUAAAAGUUUGACUACAGUAACCAUAUCUAACCAAGCUUCAAGUACCAAGAUAAUUAUUUCAUUUAUUUCUCUGAAUUCAGAUCAACUGUUCAUUUAUGCAGUUUAUGCUUUAUUUAUAGGUAGCAUAACUGUUACUUUUUUUUACAGUUCUGCAUAUAUAAUAUGACAAACCUAGGAGACUUUGCUGUAAGAGAAUUAAUCAUGUUUUUGUUUUCUUUUCUCAGGUCCGGUCAGUACCCACCACCCUUCCCUGUUAACAUCACCCACAGUUUAUACUUUUUCUUAGAAAACCAACGGCUCUUUUAAGAGCCACUUCUAUAAUCAACUCACUCACUCUUCUCAAGUAAGUAUUGCUUUUUAAUUUUUUAAUCUUGCCCUGCUUUGUACUUCUCAAAGUCUCUUUCACUCUCUCCCGUUUACUCUUAUCUUUAUUAGAAAUGCCAGGCCAGGGGUCAACAACUAGAAAGUGUGUGGUCUGCCAUACACAACUAAAUGUAGCUUGCAAAACCUGCAACACAUGCAAGGUAGAGCAACCACAUAAGUUUAGGGUAAAAAAGAACUGAAGAAAUUUGAUCAGAAGCGUGAGAGCUGGGUGCAUGAUGAAGAUGAAGAUAUGGAAGAUAUGCUGGCCUGGAAGAAAACCAAAUGCUUGGGGGUCUGAGGUUUUGACACCCCGUUGUCACUGGACUGAGACAUCCAUUACAUGCUUGGAAAGAUUAAAGAACCUAUUCAAGGCGGGACCUCUCAAGGUGUUGCAGAACAAGUCAAUAAAACCUCAUCAGCCCGAGUUGAAUCCCCAACUGGACCACAAAUGGCCCAACCUGAUCUCCAGGAACCAGUGGCCCUGCCUCAUACCAGAGCAGCUCCAACUGGACCACCAGCAGCCCUUAUUGGACCACCAAAGUCCCCAAUUUGACAGCCAGUAUCCCUUUUAGGACCCUCAGGACACCAUGCAACCCCACUGCAGCAAUCUGGGAAAAGAAACCCAUUACCCAGAUGGACUCCCAAGAGCCUCGACAGUUUCUCUUGGAAACGAUGGUGUGAAAGAAGGCUUUCCAGCUCUCACUACAGUGCGGCCAGAUCAAAGGAAAGAUAAAAGAAGUGGCCAUUGGAGUGGGUGGCGGAUGGGGACACUUGUUAGUGCUUCGGCAUCUUCUUGGGCAGUGGUUUUCAAUCUUGUCCUAGGGGACCCACAGCUCUGCACAUUUUGUAUGUCUCCCUUAAC